rnacentral:tRNA from 1 species
GCCUCCUUGGCUCAGUUGGCUAGAGCGCAGGUCUCAUAGUAAUCCUAUGAGUGAGUUCAACUCACGCAAUCCUGAGGUCGCAAGUUCGAGCCUUGCAGGGGGCA